rnacentral:lncRNA from 1 species
UUUUUUUUUCAUACUAAAAAUGCCUUGAAGCCCUGCUCUGUCUUUGUAGAAAGUAAAUACCCAGUGUCCUUCUCCUAACCUCUAAAACUCGGUGUCCAAGAUACUAGUUUUACAACCUCAAGGCUCACAGCUUUUUAAAAAUAACAAUAUAUUUUUAUGAUAUAAGUGCAAAUUUCUUUAAAUCUGAGGUACUUCCUUUAAGUCUGGCCUUUAUGUUUUAUUUUUUUUAAAUGAAAGAAAGAUAAAGCCAUUAACAAAAACAUGUUGUUAAUUAUUUCCCAAAAAAAACCCAUUUUUUUUUCUAAAAAAAUAUUUUUUAUUAGUUAUCUAUAUAAAGUGAGUCUUCUGUGAUUUUCUUUCUAAAUAAUUUGGAUAUGAGUGCAGCAAUCUGGAAAAUGACAGUGGGUUUUUUUGUUGAGAUCAUUUGCACUUAUAUUAGGAUAUUUUUGGACAUUUUGGUCAAAUUGACAUUAAAAUCAAGUACUGUUAUGUAAUAAUGAAAUGACUUUUUUUUCACUUGAUCCUCAAAAUAAUCUUAUUAUUGUCAUUUUACAAGUAAGAAAAGUGAAGCUAAGCCGCGUUAUAAUGACUUGUCCAAGUCAUGCAUAUAAUUGGAUAUUUCUGACCACAAAUCCUCACGCCUUUAUAGCAUACCUGAAAGCUUUCUUUAAUUGUGUCUCUUUUUCUAUUUAAAAGGUGAUAAUGUGAUUAUUUCAGGAGACUCUGAAUCCACAUUUCUUCACUUACUAUGGUUUCCCUCACCUUUGAGUUGGAGAUUCAAUCACAAGGUUUUAAACUUGGACUACCUCUGGUAAAUUAUUAUUUAUAUUUUUUAAUUAACUAUUGCUAUUUGAGUUUUAAGACAUAGGUAAACAAUGUUAAUGUUAUAGAGUUUGGUUUCUUAAAUGAAAGUAAUCUAUUAAAUAAAUUGAAAAUAAACAUUUCCCCAAGUUAAACAAAUAGAAAGCUUUCAUUAUCUUGGCUUAGGCACAUCGAUUUUCUACCAAAUUUUUUUUGGGUCUCUUGGAAAAUCUAAUCUGAAAUCAUCCUUAACAUGAUUUAAUGAGAAUAGAUUGUUUUAUCAUUACUAAUGCAUUUUUAUUUGAUUUUCUUAUGAAUAUAGAAGACACUGUGGUACUAGAAAUUGUUAGAGGCAUAUAGAAAGAUGCUUAGAGUUCAAAGUCAAAAAUACUGAUCUGCUACCAUUUUCCUCCCCUACAUUUUUAUCUGCUUUUAGAUUCUGAGAGGUUAUAUCCUUCUAGGUUGCUUGGCUUUCUGGUAUUUUAUAUUUAACACUCUGAGGGAGUUCCCUCAAUGGCUAGAAAACAUGAUAAUCCACACUUUCAGAAAUCCACAGCAGUUUCAUGUCAGCUUCCUAAAAUUAAUAGAGCAUCUCAGAAUGUUUUUGCCACAGAUAUAAGUCUACAAAUUUGUCAUUGCUGUAAUUUCCUCAAAGGGAUUUUAUAAGAAAACCAUUUUCAAUAGCAGAAAACAUUUUUUAAUAUGAAAUGUUUCAAGUACAGAAAAUAAUAAAAGAAUAACUUAUGUAUCUAGUACCCAGUGUGAGUAAUUAUACGAAAAUAGUCACUGAAACCCCUACAGAACAUUCCCCACAUCCCAUUCCCCUCCUCUCCUUCAGGAGCCACCAUUCUUUGAAUUUGGUGUGUCUCACUCUCUUGCAUAUGUUUUUACUUUAACUACAUAUUGACAUGCCUAUAACAAUAAAUUCAGCAUUUGAUAUUAUUUUAUACAUUCUUAAAUGACAUAUAUGGUCUCAACAUUUAUAUAUCCUUCUGCAACUUACUUGUUUUAGCUCAAAAAUGUGUUUUUGAAAAUUAUCCAUAUGAUUGCAUAUAGCUCUAGUUCUCUCAUUUUUACAGUUGUAUAGAAUUACAUUAAAUGAAUAGACCAAAAAUUUGUCCAUUUCUAUAAUGAUGCACAUUUAGGUUAAUUCAUCUUUUUUGCAAUUACUAACAAUGCCCCAUUGAACAUUUGCUCAAAGAUAUGUAGUUUCAAAUAGAAAAGUGCAUUGUUAACUGCAUUUACUAAGUCUUUUCUCAAAUC